AAAAAGCAUCGGAAUUCAACGGAGAAACAUAUACAUGCAUGACAUCAUUUCCACUGUCUAUGUAUAAUUAAGUGUUUCUCGCAGUUUUUAAGCCUUAUACGAGUAUCUAUGAGAGAAUGAGUGUUAGCAAGAGAAACAGUAGUUAAAAAGAUAUUUGACUCGACGAGCAGGAGAUGAAUCCGGAGCGAGAUAAAAAAAAGGAAUAGUACCUUCACUUUUUCGUCGUUUAUCGACAUUCACCGUUGUUGCAGUUGAUCGCCGGCGGUGAGCAAGGAUCGUCGGAGACUCCAGGGGAGGAAACGGGCAAUGGGAGCGACCAACGGACAUGUCGCGACAGUAAAAUGAAAUUAUAUAGGGCUUUGCCGAGUGAGGGAAAAGUGGAAAACACUUGACCGCACUCCGUGUUUCCCUUGGGCUAGUUUGGUACGAGCAAUAAAAAGU
rnacentral:lncRNA from 1 species